rnacentral:lncRNA from 1 species
UGCAGGAUGAUGGUUUGUGGGACAAGAAAGGGUGAUAAAACAUUCACUUUAUCUUGUUUAGGGUUUGUGCCCUUAAGAUGUUUUAUGGAAUUAUGUAAUGCAAGAAGAAAAGGUGGCUAGAUUUGGUAAUUAGUCAAGAGUAAAUUGAUUUGUUUCACUUUUUUAGUUUUAUGAUUAAGUAUCUAAUUCUCUAAAUAGAUUAUGAGGUAUC